CAGGGUGCCCGACGAAUGACCUGACCGACACGAGCAAACCAGGCCGCAGCUGCUCCUCCUGAGGCUGGAGGGGCCCUGUGUUCCCAUCACCUACUCUCUGCGUCCCCUCUUCGGGUGCAAAACCUCGACUCCCUCUGGUCUCCGGCCCCGCCCCGCACGCUUCGUGCUCUGAAUGAAGAUGGCGGCGCCCUGUACUUCCGGGCGGUGCCCUGUACUUCCGGGAGGCGCCCUGUACUUCCGGGCCGCGAAAGAGCCCUGAGGAGCCUCCUCCAGUUCCUGCUGUGGGGACCGCUGACUCCCUGCCUCCAGCCAACUCCUUUUCCUUUCCCCGCGGGACUGCGUUUCCUCGAGUGACAGCCCCACUCUCCUCCGGAACUCACCCUUGGCUCCAGAGUGCAGUGACACCAGCACAGAGCUCAGCUCAACGUCCCUCUGUGCUUUCACGAUGCCGAUGGAUUAUGAAGCCAUCAGAGAGAUGAUGCCAUUACACUAAUGGAGCCACUGGAACACUCCACGGUAUCCUUGCCAGAAAAUGAAAGUGAAAAGGGCCAAUAAAAUCUUCGUUUUCUCAAGACAAAGUGUUUUAACCUUAUAGAUUCUCUCUGAAGGGAUCUCAGGGGUCCUCAGGGUUCUCCAGAACACACUUUGAGAACUGCAGUCUGAAAUCACUGAUUUUUACAUGUCUGUUUUCUCCUGAGCAUCUAGCAUUAGAGAAAACCCUAAAAAACAUUCAUUGUAUCCCACAAGUUUGGAUAAACUGUGUUCUUUUCUUAUUCAGUUCACAACUUUUCUGAAUUCCUUGGUGAUUUCUUCUGUGUCUCAAGAAAUAUUUUGAAAUGCGCCUUUUCACAUCCAGAUCUCUGAGAAGUUUGCGAACUUUCCCUUAUUUGUCCAUUACUUCAUUCUGUUGUGUUCAGAAAACACACCCUUUAAUUCAUUUAAAUCUGUGGAGACUUGCUGAAAGGCCACGUGUAGGGUAUACCUCGGUGAAUGCUCCAUGCACACUUGAAGGUGUAGUCUGCAGUUUGGUACAGUGUUUAAUAGGUCAGCAUUUUGCAGGGGCGGGGGAAAUAGAUAUUUUGUCUGAUUUUUUGCAUAUUUGUUCUAGUCUUUUGUGUUUGGGCAAGAUUUAUAACCAUAGUGAGAGAGAAGCGAGGAAACCUCCAACUCCACUUGUUGGCUUAUCUAUUUCUCUGAGUUCUGUCAGUCCUUGCUUCAUGUAUCAGAAGGGCUCUUAUUAGGAUACAACAUAUUUAGCCUUGUUACAUCGUUAUGGAUGAACACUUCUCACUCAUGAAAUGUCCUUCUGAUCUUGGUCUUACUCUUGUCCUGAAAUCUCCUUUGUCUAAUCCUUUCCUCUGCUUCACGUGUUCCAGGAACAGCAUUGCCAUACUUGGGUUUUCCAUCCAGUUUUUCCAUUUAAAGGGCACUGAUUGCAAAAUAACCACAUUGGGCUUUGCUUUUGAGUCAACUAAACCAUCUUUGCCUUUCAUGUGCAGGGUGUCAUGCUGUUCCAUGGAAUUAACUUCA